rnacentral:lncRNA from 1 species
CUCUCACCACAGUAGUAUCCUUUGAUGUCUAAGGGAAAUUUAUUAAGUUUCUCACCAUGCAUGUCAAUGUGCAAAGCAACAGAAAACUCUGCUGGACAAAAGCAAGCUAAAAUCCUUUCCACAAGUUCACCUAGAGCCAUGUCAUUAAAGUCAUAACCAACAGCUUCAAAACUUGCGUAACUGAAACCAUCUUCAGGAGUGACAUGGAUGGUGGAUAUAGCACUCCCUUCUAUUCCAUUCAUUGAAUAUCCGCAAGGGUCAAAUUCAAAAUCAGAUAUAUCAGACUGUGGAAGGAUCUUCCUAAUUCCAGAAUUUUCGGUCAUUGAAGCUGCUGAAGAUGUAUUCUCCUUGAAAAACACAGAAGCACUUUCCUUGUCUAAACCGGUCAUGCACAUCUCUAGGCCAUAGACAGCUUCAGAUGAUCCUUUGGUCUGUGCACUUGCAGAGUAGAUGUGCCAAAUCUGUGACUUU